rnacentral:rRNA from 1 species
GACGAACGCUGGCGGCGUGCUUAACACAUGCAAGUCGAACGGAAAGGCCCUGCUUGCAGGGUGCUCGCGUGUCGAACGCGUGUGUAACACGUGGGUGAUCCGCCCUGCACUUCGGGAUAUGCCUGGGAAACAGGGUCUAAUACCGCAUAGGAGCCAUUCUUCGUGUGAUGGUUGGAAAGUUUUUUCGGUGUGGGAUGAGCUCGCGGCCUAUUAGCCUGCUGGUGGGGUAGUGGCCUACCAAAGCGGCGACGGGUUGCCGGCCUGCGGGGGUGGACGGCCAAAUUUGGGCCGGAGAUCGGGCCAGGCUUCUACGGGAAGGAACAGGGGGGGAAUAUGCAAAAAGGGGGGGAGCCUGGAGGAGCGACGGCGGGUGGGGGAAGGCGGGCUUUGGGUUGUAAACCCGUUUCGCUAUGGACGAAGCUGUGUGUGACGGUACCUGGAAAAGAAGCACCGGCUAACUACGUG